CAGUUUGUACAUUCUGGUCCUAACAGUUUCCUUAUUUGGCUGAAAUUAACAUUUUUUCCCGCACUCAUCGACUGCCUGAAGUUAAAUUUUAGAUGCUGAAAUCACUGCACCUUAAAAACAAAAAGAUUAAGCUGCACUGCAUUCCUCAGGCCGAGCUGACUCACUGCUGUUGACUUCAUGACCUGCUUCCCAUUUCAACUGCCACGUGUUUAAAAAGUUUAGUAGCUGACAUUAUAUCCCCUGGGAUCAUCUGAGCAGUGGACCAGUAAAAAGCAAACCAA